rnacentral:rRNA from 1 species
UACGAGGGGGGGCAAGCGUUAUUCGGAAUUACUGGGCGUAAAGAGCUCGUAGGCGGUUUGUCGCGUCUGCCGUGAAAGUCCGGGGCUCAACUCCGGAUCUGCGGUGGGUACGGGCAGACUAGAGUGAUGUAGGGGAGACUGGAAUUCCUGGUGUAGCGGUGAAAUGCGCAGAUAUCAGGAGGAACACCGAUGGCGAAGGCAGGUCUCUGGGCAUUAACUGACGCUGAGGAGCGAAAGCAUGGGGAGCGAACAGG